CCUACGGGUGGCAGCAGUGGGGAAUAUUGCACAAUGGAGGAAACUCUGAUGCAGCAACGCCGCGUGGAGGAUGACACUUUUCGGAGCGUAAACUCCUUUUAUAUAGGAAGAUAAUGACGGUACUAUAUGAAUAAGCACCGGCUAACUCCGUGCCAGCAGCCGCGGUAAUACGGAGGGUGCAAGCGUUACUCGGAAUCACUGGGCGUAAAGAGCGUGUAGGCGGGUUAUUAAGUCAGAAGUGAAAUCCUAUGGCUCAACCAUAGAACUGCUUUUGAAACUGGUAACCUAGAGUAUGGGAGAGGUAGAUGGAAUUUCUGGUGUAGCGGUGAAAUGCAUAGAUAUCACGCAGAACUCCGAUUGCGAAGGCAGCUUACUAAGCUACAACUGACACUGAAGCACGAAAGCGUGGGGAUCAAACAGGAUUAGAUACCCGGGUAGUC
rnacentral:rRNA from 1 species